rnacentral:tRNA from 1 species
CGGGUUGUAGUAUAGUGGCAGUACGCGUGCAUGGGGUGCAUGUAGCCGCGGUUCGAUUCCGCGCAGCCCGACCA